ensembl:lncRNA
CUGAUUUCUAUUUUCUUAUUUAUUUUAUUUGAUCAUUCUUUAUUUUGUUUUCUUUUCCGCAUAUCCGGAACUUUGCACCGCGGGGACGGAGCGGAGGGGCCAAGAACAAGGAAUGCCUCAUCGCGCUGGGCUGCUGCAGCCUGGAGCCGCUGUCAUUAAACACCGGCUGUUGUUAAUGAAGGCUUCUUUUCUUGCCAUAUUCCUAUACCCUAUGGGGGAGAAAGAGAUCCCCUUGAAUUGCUGCAGAGGGUGACAGUGAUUUCUGAAGAAUCCUCCAAAGAGUGAGCAAAGAGCACUGAAAACAGAUGCAGAAAGCUAUUUGCAUGGGUAUGUGCACCUGUGUGUGUCUGUGUGUGUGUUUGGUAGAGUGUGGUGUUCCUGCAAAUAGAUAACUCUUUGAGAGAUUUCUUCACAGGUCAAUGGUAAACAGACUUCAUCUGUACGUUGGAAUACUCAUUCCUUUAUUUUUCAGUAGGUCUUCAACUUUCCUUUAUUUUUCCACCAUGUAUUCCCACCCAUCUCUGAAUCUGCCGACUCGUGCUGCCUGUUAUUUACCAGUGGCUUUUUGUGACCUCUGGUUUUGCUCUUGAUUGUCUUUUUCUUCUUCCUCCUUGCCAAGAAAUCUUUGUCUCUCUGAAUUCUCCCCAAAGUACGGUUCUUCUUUUGUUUUUUUUUUUUUUUCCCCAUCCUUCGGCAUUCAAUUUUUUAACUUUGGAAAUCACAGGAAAAUAUAGUAAUGAGGAUGGAAUAGUAUUUCCAUUCCAUAGUGGCUGGAUGAUUAUUCACUACUAGUAGCAUGUAAACCUGGAAACCUGUAAAAUAUUGAGUUAAUUUGACACACGUGGAAUUCACGCCACAUAUCAUUGCAUCAUUUGAGUUGAAAGGGAACUUUAAAGGUCCUCUAGUCCAACUCGCCUGCAGUGAGCAAGGACAUCCACAGCUCGAUCAGAGCCCCAUCCAGCCUGACCUUGAGUGUGUCCAGGGACGGGGCAUCCACCACCUCUCUGUGCAACAAUGCUGGUGCCUCACUGCCAUUAUUCUCCCCUCUAGAUACUGUAAAGCCCCUCUCAGGUCUCCUCAGAGUCUUCUCCAGGCUGAACAGUCCCAGCUCUCAGCCUGCCAUUGUAGAAGAGGUGUUCCAUUCCAUGGAUCAUUUUUGUGGCCCUCUUCUGGACGUGCUCCAAAGGAUCCAUGUCUCUCCUGUACUGAGGACUCCAUAUCUGGACACAGUACUCCACGUAAACAAGAUUAGGAUUUUAGGCUCACAUCCGUUAUAUUGGCACACUUUCUGUACCCUGGAAGAUUUAUCAACUCCUUACAUGCCUAGACUAAAGGAACCCCAUUUCUGCGGUCUUCCUUCAUGGAUAAUGCAUUCUGAGUCCUCUUCUCCAUCUUGCUGUUUGCUGCUGUGUGAUUUCCACAGUGACUACCGGUGUUUUGGAGGAUGGUGUUGAAGACUGCUUCAGCUGCACUUUUCUGGGGAGCAAGGAGGCAAUCCCUACCCAGAUCUUGCCUGCAAAAUUCUUGACUGCAGGAGGCGUUCUUUUCCUUCCUUUCUGAAUUACCAUUGGAACAGUACAGUUGGAAGGAACCCACAAAGAUCAUCGUGUCCCUGCUGCCUGACUGCUGGAGGGCUAACCAAAAGUGAAAGCACGUCAUUAGUAAGGGCAUUAUCCAAACUUCUUGAAUGCAGAAGCCUUGUAAGAUUGAACAGCCCCAAGUGUCUCAGCCUUUCUUAUAAGGGAGAUGCUCCAGACUCCUCGUCAUCUGUGUGGCUCUCUACUGGACUCUCUCCAGCAGUUCCCUGUCUUCCUUGAACUGGGAGCUCAAAAGCUGUUGUUUUCAAGAAAUUAAUGAGUUUGAAAAUGAAAAUAAAUUCCUCACUGAAUAUUUGUUACACUGUUGUCAGUUUUUCAGAAGCUUCAAUGUUCAGAUUCUUUAACAGUAGGGGAAAUCUUCAAAAAGCAAAUAGGUUUUUUAAAAGACAGAUAUAUUUGGAAAAUUUAUGUCUUAUUUUUUCUUUUUCUUUUUCUUUUUUUUCCCUUUUUUUCUUUUCUUGUAGUGCCAUGGGAAAUAGCGGGAGGCAAUAUGAGAUGUUUUAGCUAUAAAUGUCUGUCUUAUGAACAUCUUACUGAAGAUGCUAUGAGCUUCUUAGACAUAUAGACUAAGAAGUGCCAUCCAGAGGAGGUCCAUGUGCAAAAUUUAGCAUUCUAAUUUCUGAUCUACAUGUAAAUAUUCCCUGGAAAAUGUAUAUACAUUACAAUAAUUUGUAAAAGCAGGCUUGUUGUGUGUGGCAGAUUUACUGUGGAUACUACUGUUUCUCUGAAAUAGUGCUACAACUGAAAACGCAACAUCAAAAUUGAAGCAGAAGACGGCUAGCAUUUGGAUCCCAAACUGAUUUGAAAGUGUCACAUGGUCUGGAAUGUCUUUUUCAGUGUUUUUUGUUUUUUUUUUCCACUGUGCUACUGGAUCUUCUAGUACAGCAGCAAACUGAUCUACUUGCGCGAAUAGUUUCAAAGUCACAGGGUUUUAGAAAGCACCAAUGAUACCUAGUAUUGUUGCUGUAAUUUCAGAAAUGUUAUAAGUCAGGGUUUUUCUUCAUCAUUAAAACAUGUUCUGUUGUUAAGUUAGAAGAAUACUACAGGAUGUGGAUCCUGUUGUUUGGAAAACAAGGAAUUGAGGUGUGAGAAAUUAAUGGAAAUUCACAUUUACAGGAAAAAAAAAAGCCUAGUUUCUGGAAUGGUACUGGAAAUUGUUUGCUGAAUGGUUGUUAAGAAGUUUAAUGUUUCCUGUAUGUUAGUCUGUCUUUAGACCUGAAAAUAAUGUUGUCUGCUUUUUUAUUUAUAUGUGACAAGACUUAGAAGUAUCUUUGAUUCAUGAGCAGAAACAGCAGAAAGAAGAUGAUAAAGAAUAACUCUGGUUAUAAAUUAAAGUUAAUAGACUUUUUUUUUCUUUUAAACCCACAUCUUUUGUUAACAGAAUUUUUUCUGCAUUGUUACUGAUGCCUUCAUGCCUGAGAAGUUUUAUUUGCCUGUGUGCAAAUGGAGCAACUGUAUGAAAUUAAAGUAAAAUGCUGCUCUAACUUAGCUGUUAGGUUGCAAAGUUAGCACACUGAUUUUUUUCUUCUGGUACAUGUUCUUUUUAUAAAGGAACUUUAUCUUGUGGCUAUUGAUAUAUUGCAGAUGUAAAUUUUAUUAGACAGUAUAGGAAGAAAAUAAUAGAAUCUAUGAACAGGCAGUCACUAUCAGCAAAUUCUAUUAGCAAACAGAUAAAUUUCAAGCCAGCUUAUUGUUUUUUAGAGAGGUUUUGAUUAUUUCAGGAGACCAAAAUUGACUUAGGUAAGAUUAUCCUCAUCACUUAGAUUGAAAGAGAGUACUUUGCACUGACUAGAAAAGGAUGUAAAGUUUUACGUAUGUGUUUUUGUAUGUGUCCUGAUUCACAAGCAAAACAAUGAGCACUAGGCACAAUAAGAUGUAAAUAACCCUGUCAGGUCUUGGUGGCAAGUGUCAGUCUUCUCCUAGAGCUGGGUAGUGCACACACCCUCCACAGCACUAUUUAAUGUCACAGUCAAGACACCUCCAGAUGCCAGUAAAAUGUCAGGACGUCUUAGUCCUUUUAGGAAAACUAAUUUAUUGAACACUGCUGUAGGACAAUAUAUAGGAAAUAUAUGCCAGGAAAUAACUGGUACUGGAAACAGACAAAAGCAGUGAGAAAAGGUAAAGGAGGUGGAUGUUGACACAGGUUCCCGGUAUAGACUAGAUAGAUGAGAGUUAUAAACUGGAGGCAGUAUCACUAUCUCACCUGUGCUGCCACUGCAGCUAGUUAAUGAGGUAAUUUCAUAUAUUCUUUGAAUGCAAAACAGAAUAGAAGCAUUACUGUUGAAUUUUCUUUAAGGCUCAGGCACCUGCUCAGUGCUUUGUGCAUGCUGCUGCCAACAGUUUACAUUAUAGAAGUACCACUGUUUUGAUCAAUUGCUUGUUGUCCUAAUAAGGGUGCAUACAACCUCUGCUUUGCAAGAGUACUACAAAAUAAACAGCUUUUUGAAUCCAACAAAUCUCAGUUUUAAAAGCUUUUGUAAAUCAAUUU